ensembl:lncRNA
UGGCAGAGUGUUGGUAACUUGAGCCACUCAAAAGUGAGGGUUUCACUUCCCUUUUGGUUCUCUGAAUAUAUCUGGGACCAGAAGGUGUGCGUGGUUUAUUGCAGAGACACACAGAAGGCAGCUGCAUCUGCAGAGCUGAGAACAGCUGGAUCUUGUUCACACUCAGCCAGAGGAAAACUCCUGGGAAGGUGUGCUGCUGACACAGACUAUCUAACAACUGGUUACACUCAGAUGCCUGUGGAGCUGGUCUGGACCCAGUCUCUGCGACAAGGACAAUUGGUGAGGAGCACCUUGUACUGUCCCAGUGAGGCUCUCAAGCCAUCUGUGGUGUUGCCCGUCACCCUGCACAUGGCCCCACACUGCUCAGCCACCCCUGCUUAGCCCCUGCACUUCUGAAGGAUGUUGAAGCCAGUCUUGACUUUAAAGUACCUUUUUCAAAAGAAACCUUUGGGGACUUCCCUGGUGGUCCAGUGGUAAAGAAGCUGCCUGCCAAUGCAGGGGACACAGGUUUGAUCCCUGGUCCGGGAAGAUCCAACAUGCUGGGAGCAACUAAGCCCGUGCACCGCCACUACUGAGCCCGCUCCCUAGAGCCCGUGCUCUGCAAAAAGAGAAGCCACUGCAAUGAGAAGCCCAUGUACUCGACGAAGAGUAGCGCACUCGAAGCAACUAGAGAAAGCAGCCCCUGCCCGCACAGCAGUGAAGACCCAGGGCAGUCAGAUAAACAAAUAAGGACGCUGUUUCCCUAGCUACCUAAGGUAAAGCCUCCUGAGCCCCACUAUCUACUGCCCCCUUGGUUAGAAAUGCACAUGGGCACAGACUCCAGCAGGUAAGGUCCCUACAGAGUUGAGGUUCUGUGUUUCUUACCAGUCCCGUGCUAACUCCAGCUGCCCCCUCCUGCGUCCCUGCAGCCCCAAUCUCCCUGCACCAGGAGAAGGCUGCCCACAGAGCAGCAGGGCCAACCCAGACUCCAGGCCCCUUCCCUGGCCUUGGCCUUGCUCCAGGGCUCUGUGAUGGCCGGGGUGCCACGUGGUCAGCAGCCGGCUCUCCUCCUCUGGAUCGAAACCCUGGAGCUCUAGAGCAACCUGUACCGCAUGGGCCAGAGCAAGGUCUUCUUUUGGGCCGGCGUGCUGGCCCACCUGAGGAGGAGCAGGACCUGAAGAUCACGGACGUCAUCAUCGGCUUCCAGGCCUGCUGCUGGGGCUAUCUGGCCAGGAGGUGUGACAACCAGAGCUGGCUGUCCCCAGAGGACCCAAGCUCUAGAAAGGUGGCAUCCUUGAGUCCUGGCAGCUCCAGCAAGCUAGGAGCGGACUUGUGCAGGUCAGUGGGCAGGGCAGCGGCCUGUUUGCCCCUUGACUCCC